rnacentral:tRNA from 1 species
GCCACCCUAGCUCAGCUGGUAGAGCGACGCAUUCGUAAUGCGUAGGUCGGGGGUUCGAGUCCCCUGGGUGGCU